AGUGAAUCAUCGAAUCUUUGAACGCACAUUGCGCCCGCCAGUACUCUGGCGGGCAUGCCUGUUCGAGCGUCAUU
rnacentral:rRNA from 1 species